AGUGAACGCUGGCGGUAGGCCUAACACAUGCAAGUCGAACGGCAGCACAGUAAGAGCUUGCUCUUACGGGUGGCGAGUGGCGGACGGGUGAGGAAUACAUCGGAAUCUACUUUUUCGUGGGGGAUAACGUAGGGAAACUUACGCUAAAACCGCAUACGACCUACGGGUGAAAGCAGGGGAUCUUCGGACCUUGCGCGAUUCAAUGAGCCGAUGUCGGAUUAGCUAGUUGGCGGGGUAAAGGCCCACCAAGGCGACGAUCCGUAGCUGGUCUGAGAGGAUGAUCAGCCACACUGGAACUGAGACACGGUCCAGACUCCUACGGGAGGCAGCAGUGGGGAAUAUUGGACAAUGGGCGCAAGCCUGAUCCAGCCAUACCGCGUGGGUGAAGAAGGCCUUCGGGUUGUAAAGCCCUUUUGUUGGGAAAGAAAAGCAGCAGGUUAAUACCCCGCUGUUCUGACGGUACCCAAAGAAUAAGCACCGGCUAACUUCGUG
rnacentral:rRNA from 1 species